CGAGACUCUGUCUCAAUAAACAAAACAAAACAAAGAGCUUUAGAACAGUAAGGAAAGGAAGGAGAAGAAAAGUACAAUGUGGAAGAAGGCCAAGUGGUUGACCUGAGAAACCGAGUGCGCAGCUUGGCCUCUUGACUUGGGGUUUGAUACCUUGGCAUACUUCCAGGAUCUUGGAAGUAAGCUGCUUCCCACUCCGGAGAUCUUACUGGGAAGCUGCUGAUCAGUUGCAGGUGUUUUCUAUUAGGAGACUGCCUUUCCCCCGUACUGGCUGUGACCAAUUACUAAACAGAAACAGUUAACAACCACUUGACCACCACCUGAUGGUCACCCAGCACUCCUAGUGUGUGUGUGUGUGUGUGUGUGUGUGUGUGUGUGUGUGUGUGUGUGUGUGUGUGUUGGGGGGAAGUCCUUUCCUGCCCUGCUCAUACCUAACUAGCUACCUACUGUAAUAAAGCUACCAUUCAGGAACCAAGACAAAAAGGAAAAAAAUACAUUUAACAUUUACAGGUAAAUAAAAGCUGAGAAUGAGCCAAAGAAACUCCCGAAGGAUGUACCUCAAGAAGGAAGAUGAUUCCAGGUCAGCCUAAGAUGCAAGAAGAAGGAAUGAUACCUUAAAGCAAAUGAGAAGACAAGCUAAAUCUGGGAGGAGACAUAUACACAUAUACAUGCAUAAUCAGGAUUGGUAUCAAAAACCCCUAUGAACUAGCAAGAAAAGGAAAAAUGUGCAAAAAAGCCAUGAACCAGCAUUUCACCAAAGAUGAAACAGCUAUGGCCAAAAAUUAUGACAAGAUGCUUAAUUAAGCCCACUGGCUAUUAGGCACGUGGAAGUCAAGACCACAACGAGACAUCAUCUUUCACGCAUUUGAUGGGUAAACAUUAUGAUGUCUGACACUGCUAAAUGUUGGCGAGGACGUGGAUCAACAGGAACUCUCAAAAUUGCUGGCAAAGGAGGGGGCACUGUUUCUAAGAAGAGUGAUGAUACCACCGUAUUUUUGAAAAAUGAUGAAACAGCGUGGGGGAAACUGCUAUGUCUUCCAUAUUCAGGCUUUUUCUUCUCCAAGCCCAUUUCCUCCCUAGCAAUGAUAAGAGGAAACACUCCCGGUGAGUCAGAUGCUCUCUAAAUAUUUUUGCUCAUUGAAUGUUGACACCAGCCCUGUGUUUAGUAUCAUACUGGGAACACGCAUGAGGAGCUGAAGCACAGACAGGUUAAGUGGCUCGCCCAGGGUCAUACAGCUACUCAGUGCUGGAGCCGAGAUCACACCAGGCUCUGCUUCCCCACCAGAACCAUGAGAGGUUGGGAGUGACCCUACUGGACAGGGAUAUCUGAGGUGGGAGGGGCUGUGUGUGUGUUCAUGCUGAGGCCGGCAUGCUUAGAACAUCAACCUCAAUUUUCCUCCCCACAGGGUCUGGCGGGGAGGCAGGGAGCAAGGUCGUUAAGGGUGGGCAGGGUGAGGGGGAGAUUCCCUGACAGCCUGGGUUCUGCCCCUCACUUGCUACAGCCCCAUGCAAGCCUCUUGGCCUCUCUGAGGCUCUGUAUUCUCACCUGUCAAAUGGGGGUUGUCCUGGGUGUUACUUCAAAGGCUGAUGAGAAAGGAGUGAGUGGGCUGGCUCGCAGCCUGGCGUGACAAGCAAUGCAUAAAUGUAUGCCGUAUGAGUCACCUGUCCACAGUGGCCCCAGCAGCUCUCUCUAGCAGGGCUUGGCCAAGACUAGGCCCUCAGAGUGUAAGAAAACUCCUGGUUUGGUGCCUAGCACACUAUAGAUGUGGCAAACUGUGUCCAAGAACGUUUUGAUGGGAGCCUGCCUGGAUGACAGAAGAUCAGAGUGUGCUGGAAUGUCCCACCCUUUCCAGCUUCCCGCAGCCAAGCCAGGCUCUGGGGUGAUCAUUCCCAUAGCAACCACCAGGGGUCAGGGCUGGCCACUUCUGCCUUCUUCCCUCAUCCUAGCGCCUGUGGGUGGCGAUGACAUCCCUGCCAUCUAUGAGGUGGAGCAUUUCCAACAAGAGCAGGUCUGAGGCCCUGGCUUGACUUUCCCAGUCCUGUUAAAGAAGAACAUUGGGAUACCCAACUGUUCUAGCACCAUUUAUUGAAAAGUCAACUCUUCCUUCAAUAUUCAGAAAUGUCACCUCUGUCAUAAACCAGGCAGCCACAUGUGUAUUAGACUGCUGUGUCUUCGUUAUUUCUCCAGAGAGUCUUGCCCUGUUGCCC
rnacentral:lncRNA from 1 species